GAUAAACGCUGGCGGCGCACAUAAGACAUGCAAGUCGAACGGACUUAAUCCAUUCUUUACGAUUGGAAGCGGUUAGUGGCGGACUGGUGAGUAACGCGUGAGCAACCUGCCUAUAAGAGGGGAACAACAGUUAGAAAUGACUGCUAAUACCGCAUAAGCUGAUAGGGUCGCAUGACCUAGUCAGAAAAGGAGCAAUCCGCUUAUAGAUGGGCUCGCGUCUGAUUAGCUAGUUGGUGGGGUAACGGCCUACCAAGGCAACGAUCAGUAGCCGGACUGAGAGGUUGAACGGCCACAUUGGGACUGAGAUACGGCCCAGACUCCUACGGGAGGCAGCAGUCGGGAAUAUUGCGCAAUGGAGGAAACUCUGACGCAGUGACGCCGCGUAUAGGAAGAAGUUUUUCGGAAUGUAAACUAUUGUCAUUAGGGAAGAGAAAGGACGGUACCUAAGGAGGAAGCCCCGGCUAACUAUGUGC
rnacentral:rRNA from 1 species